rnacentral:rRNA from 1 species
AGAGUUUGAUCAUGGCUCAGAGCGAACGCUGGCGGCAGGCUUAACACAUGCAAGUCGAGCGGGCGUAGCAAUACGUCAGCGGCAGACGGGUGAGUAACGCGUGGGAACGUACCUUUUGGUUCGGAACAACACAGGGAAACUUGUGCUAAUACCGGAUAAGCCCUUACGGGGAAAGAUUUAUCGCCGAAAGAUCGGCCCGCGUCUGAUUAGCUAGUUGGUGAGGUAAUGGCUCACCAAGGCGACGAUCAGUAGCUGGUCUGAGAGGAUGAUCAGCCACAUUGGGACUGAGACACGGCCCAAACUCCUACGGGAGGCAGCAGUGGGGAAUAUUGGACAAUGGGCGCAAGCCUGAUCCAGCCAUGCCGCGUGAGUGAUGAAGGCCCUAGGGUUGUAAAGCUCUUUUGUGCGGGAAGAUAAUGACGGUACCGCAAGAAUAAGCCCCGGCUAACUUCGUGCCAGCAGCCGCGGUAAUACGAAGGGGGCUAGCGUUGCUCGGAAUCACUGGGCGUAAAGGGUGCGUAGGCGGGUCUUUAAGUCAGGGGUGAAAUCCUGGAGCUCAACUCCAGAACUGCCUUUGAUACUGAAGAUCUUGAGUUCGGGAGAGGUGAGUGGAACUGCGAGUGUAGAGGUGAAAUUCGUAGAUAUUCGCAAGAACACCAGUGGCGAAGGCGGCUCACUGGCCCGAUACUGACGCUGAGGCACGAAAGCGUGGGGAGCAAACAGGAUUAGAUACCCUGGUAGUCC